rnacentral:rRNA from 1 species
UAGCCGUAAACGAUACUCGCUAGGUGUCGGCCACGGUGCGACCGUUGUCGGUGCCGUAGGGAAGCCGUGAAGCGAGCCACCUGGGAAGUACGGCCGCAAGGCUGAAACUUAAAGGAAUUGGGCGGGGGAGCACAACAACGGGUGGAGCUUGCGGUUUAAUUGGAUUCAACGCCGGAAAUCUCACCAGGGGCGACAGCAGAAUGAUGGCCAGGUUGAUGACCUUGCUUGACAAGCUGAGAGGUGGUGCAUGGCGUAGUCGUGU